UACGGGGGGAGCAAGCGUUGUUCGGAUUUACUGGGCGUAAAGGGCGCGUAGGCGGCGCAACAAGUCACUUGUGAAAUCUCCGGGCUUAACCCGGAGCGGCCAAGUGAUACUGUCGUGCUAGAGUGCGGAAGGGGCUACUGGAAUUCUCGGUGUAGCGGUGAAAUGCGUAGAUAUGUGGAGGAACACCGAUGGCGAAGGCAGCCCCCUGGGCUAACACUGACGCUCAGGCACGAAAGCGUGGGGAGCAAACAGG
rnacentral:rRNA from 1 species